rnacentral:rRNA from 1 species
UACAGAGGGUGCGAACGUUGCUCGGAAUUACUGGGCGUAAAGCGCGUGUAGGCGGAUCCAUAAGUCGGGCGUGAAAGCCCCAGGCUCAACCUGGGAACUGCGCUCGAAACUGUGGGUCUAGAGUGUCGGAGAGGAUGGCGGAAUUCCUGGUGUAGAGGUGAAAUUCGUAGAUAUCAGGAGGAACACCGGUGGCGAAGGCGGCCAUCUGGACGACAACUGACGCUGAGACGCGAAAGCGUGGGGAGCAAACAGG